rnacentral:rRNA from 1 species
AGAGCGAACGCUGGCGGCAGGCUUAACACAUGCAAGUCGAGCGGGCGUAGCAAUACGUCAGCGGCAGACGGGUGAGUAACGCGUGGGAACGUACCUUUUGGUUCGGAACAACACAGGGAAACUUGUGCUAAUACCGGAUAAGCCCUUACGGGGAAAGAUUUAUCGCCGAAAGAUCGGCCCGCGUCUGAUUAGCUAGUUGGUGAGGUAAUGGCUCACCAAGGCGACGAUCAGUAGCUGGUCUGAGAGGAUGAUCAGCCACAUUGGGACUGAGACACGGCCCAAACUCCUACGGGAGGCAGCAGUGGGGAAUAUUGGACAAUGGGCGCAAGCCUGAUCCAGCCAUGCCGCGUGAGUGAUGAAGGCCCUAGGAUUGUAAAGCUCUUUUGUGCGGGAAGAUAAUGACGGUACCGCAAGAAUAAGCCCGGCUAACUUCGUGCCAGCAGCCGC